CUUAAACCCCUCUCCUCGCGCACCAGGAAGCAAAGAGGGAAGAAAAGGUCUCUUGCCUCUUCGGCAGCUCCAGACUUCAACCGGACUCCCUCCCGGCUAGCCGUGGCGCACUAACCCCUUCAGGCUGUUUUCACUCUGCCAACUCCAGACCUCUCCCUGCGAUCCUACCGAAGCCCGAGGCUCAGCUCCCAGCCCCACCCGCCCCGGCGGGUGAGCAGACAAGCCUCUCGGGCUGGUGAGUGCUGGUGGGCACCGAUCCUCUGUGCGGGAAUCUCUCCGCUUUGCCCUCCACACCCUGUUGCUGCGCUCUCCUCCGAGGCUCCGGAGCUUCCCCCUCCGCCACCCGCAGUCUCCACCAGCGAAGGGGCUUCUAGUGUGUGGGAACCUUUCCUCCUUCACGGCUCCCUCCCACUGGUGCAGGUCCCGUCCCUAGUCUUUGUCUCUGUUUAUUCUUUUUUCUUUUGCCCUACCCAGGUACGUGGGGAGUUUCUUGCCUUUUGUGAGGUCUGAGGUCUUCUGCCAGCGUUCGGUGGGUGUUCUAUAGGAGAAGUUCCACGUGUAGCUGUAUUUCUGAUGUAUCUGUGAGGAGGAAGCUCCAUCCUCUUGUGAAAAGUAAAGAAUUUGAAGACGAACAAGUCAAUUACAUGGUUUUUUAAACAGCAAUUAAUCCUUAUUACAGAGAACAAUAAACAAAAGAUCUGUGGCACGGUAUCUUUGGAAAGAUCUUUUGCAAAUUUUUCUUCUAAAAAAAGAAAACUAUAAUUCUCACAGAUCACGUAUGUCUCUUUCAAAGGACUGUACAAGGCAGCUAAAUUUUAUUCACAAAAGCCCCAAGUUUCAGUUCCAUUGCUGACGUAGAUAAAACACAUGGAGUCCCCCUUGUCUGUGUUGCACAUCUUCCCACCGAGCGCAUCACUGCUUCCCUAUCCUACAUCCAAAACCAUUGUGUGGACUAGAUAGCUGGCACAUUAUUACACAAUAAUUAAAGAAAAAUUCAUAUUAUUUUAGAGACAGACCAGUGAUCUUCAUUUAUCAACUGGACGAUUUAUUCUUUUUUAAACAAUUUUAAUAAUACCAAGAUUUGACUUUCCUCUAAAAGUUAUAAGAAAGCAAAAAAUAUAUAAUAUAAUAUAAUAUAUAAUGGUAAUAAAUAAAAAAAGGCAACCCUGCUCAGGUAUCAUCCAAAAUAUGAUCACAUUCAGAAGAAAAAAAAAAAAAAAACCAACACAAGAUUUGGGACACACGUGUAUAAACACACACACCAACAUGAACAGUGUAUACUUGGUAUCUGAGGAGGGGAUGUGCAGUAAUUUUAACAAUACACGUUGAUGGCCUGAACAAAAGGCGAGUACUGCCUUUUGUUCUUAAACAAAAGUUAAUACUGCCUGUAUUCAGCAUCACUUAAACAGCUACUUGUAAGCAAAGCAAGUUAUCUUCCUUAGGUCAGCCACUGCCUGGUCUGACCAGUGCAGCUCGGCCAGCCUCGCUGUCAGCGGUCUUACUUCUUUGUCCUUCCAGGUCGAUAUAGUAAUAUCUAGGCUCCCAGGGAGCUGUAAGUUUCCUUCCUGCCGUCUUGGGUAGAGAAAUACAGGCACUUCUCUACCCAGCACAGUACGUGUUGAUAUCCAACACACCGCGAACAGAAUAGGGUGGCUUUCCCCAGGACAACAGGAAAUUUACAGCUACCUUAAGAGAGGUGGUAGAUGGGUGCUUGUCAACAACGCCUCAUAAAUACGAACUAAAGAGCAUGGCCAGUGGUCACAAUUCGUUCUCGGAUUUUCGGUGACUGACACAACUGGAUUGGAUAUUUGAGGUGUAUAUGGUAGAAAUACCACUGGCAGUGUUUGAAGGAAAAUCCCCAACACCAUGUUUGUAAUUCUGCCACUCCACCUCCCACAAAAAAAAAUGACAAAAGUAUAGGAAAAAAACCUGCAUCCACAAAUCCUAAGUAGGACCAAAAACAAAAGAGGCAACCACUAGAGCAAGAGAGAAAGGGACCAAGUACCGCUAUAAUCCUGACUCCCCUCCACAACCACAAUGAGGAAAUCUCUACAUCUGUGUUUCUAAAAGAAGGCCAAAUAUUCUAGCAAGAUUUAAAUACAGCUAAUCAGUGGUAAAGAGUGUAAGAGAUGAGGUGGCAAAGUUUUUCACAGAUUUUGUGUAGUGUCUGGGCAAACAAAUCCUUAAGAAAAAGUAGAAUCUGUGUGGGAGGUAGGGAAUCAAGCCUUAUUUGAUUCAUUUACCUAAAGAUGCACAAAUACACCUCAAACUUCAUGAAGCGGAAGAGAAAAAGGUGCAAGACCCACCUAACAUCUCUUAAAGCCAUGGCAAAAUGAAUACAGCAUUAUUCCAAAAUUAGGUGUGGUCAACAAAGGCACAAUAAAUAUAUCCAAUUUAGCCAGCCUCUUAGUCUGUGUCUGUGUGUGUGUAUAUGUACACACACAUUUCCUUUCAUAUAUCAGAGAUAAGAGUUUUAUUCAUUUUGGAGGGCACAAUGGUUUCUUUUUGCUUCUAAAAAUUACUGAACAGGAAUCAUAAAAAAAAAAAUAGUAAGCUCCUGAUCCUACUAACGUUAAUACUUAAGGUACCAAUUAAGGCAAAUUUUCAGCCAGAAAGGGGUAGUUUGUUAGCUUCUAAACAUCCUAAGACCAGGAAUUAAAGGAUAUAGAACAAGGGAGAUAAGUGUGGUCCAAUUUGUCUAGGGGAAAUAGCUAAACAUUCUGGUCAAAACAGAUUAUAAAAUAAAGGUCCUUUUGUUCAAAAAAAAAAAAAAA